GAUCAUGGCUCAGGAUGAACGCUAGCGGCAGGCCUAACACAUGCAAGUCGAGGGGCAUCACAGGUAGCAAUGCCGGGUGGCGACCGGCGCACGGGUGCGUAACGCGUAUGCAACCUACCCAUAACAGGGGGAUAACACUGAGAAAUUGGUACUAAUACCCCAUAACAUCAGAACCGGCAUCGGUUUUGGUUGAAAACUCCGGUGGUUAUGGAUGGGCAUGCGUUGUAUUAGCUGGUUGGUG
rnacentral:rRNA from 1 species